AAAGAAGAGUGAAGGUGCCCUUCAUCUUACCUGAUAAUAUGCCAGCUUAGAGCAGCACAAUGCAUCAUCAGUGAAAUGUAUAGAAGUGGUUGUAUGAACAGCAUAACCAACUGAGAUGCACGGAGACAGACAGCAGCCUACGGAGCCAAAUGGGAAUUUCACUGCUGUGAGGAGUCCCUGACAUGCUGGUUCUUGCGCUGCCUUGUUGGCAAGACUGUGAAGAAAAUACAUGACCAAUGCAAGAAAAAACAGGUUAUGACAUGCAUUAGGCUUGAAGUGACAUACUUUGCUUUGCAGGAAAUGGAGCAAAGCAAACAGAAAAGAGUGGCAGGGUGUUAA
rnacentral:lncRNA from 1 species